rnacentral:rRNA from 1 species
UCCCAGACUCCUACGGGAGGCAGCAGUGAGGAAUAUUGGUCAAUGGCCGGAAGGCUGAACCAGCCAUGCCGCGUGAAGGUCAGUGCCCUAUGGGCGUUAAACUUCUUUUGUGCGGGAGCAAUAAUGGUCACGUGUGGCCAGACGAGAGUACCGUACGAAUAAGCAUCGGCUAACUCCGUGCCAGCAGCCGCGGUAAUACGGGGGAUGCAAGCGUUAUCCGGAUUUAUUGGGUUUAAAGGGUGCGUAGGCGGAUUGAUAAGUUAGAGGUGAAAUGUCCGAGCUCAACUCGGGAACUGCCUCUAAUACUGUUGAUCUAGAGAGUAGAUGCGGUAGGCGGAAUGUAUGGUGUAGCGGUGAAAUGCUUAGAGAUCAUACAGAACACCGAUUGCGAAGGCAGCUUACCAAUCUAUAUCUGACGUUGAGGCACGAAAGCGUGGGGAGCAAACAGGAUUAGAUACCCCGGUAA